rnacentral:rRNA from 1 species
GAUGAACGCUGGCGGCGUGCCUAACACAUGCAAGUCGAGCGAUUUACUUCGGUAAAGAGCGGCGGACGGGUGAGUAACGCGUGGGUAACCUGCCCUGUACACACGGAUAACAUACCGAAAGGUAUGCUAAUACGAGAUAAUAUACUUUUAUCGCAUGGUAGAAGUAUCAAAGCUCCGGCGGUACAGGAUGGACCCGCGUCUGAUUAGCUAGUUGGUAAGGUAACGGCUUACCAAGGCGACGAUCAGUAGCCGACCUGAGAGGGUGAUCGGCCACAUUGGAACUGAGACACGGUCCAAACUCCUACGGGAGGCAGCAGUGGGGAAUAUUGCACAAUGGGCGAAAGCCUGAUGCAGCAACGCCGCGUGAGCGAUGAAGGCCUUCGGUCGUAAAGCUCUGUCCUCAAGGAAGAUAAUGACGGUACUUGAGGAGGAAGCCCCGGCGUAACUACGUG